rnacentral:rRNA from 1 species
AUCCUAGCCGUAAACGAUGUCAACUAGCUGUGGGAGGUAUCGACCCCUCCCGUGGCGACGCUAACGCAUUAAGUUGACCGCCUGGGGAGUACGGCCGCAAGGUUAAAACUCAAAGGAAUUGACGGGGCCCGCACAAGCGGUGGAGCAUGUGGUUUAAUUCGACGCUACGCGAAGAACCUUACCUGGGCUCGAACGACUGGUAGUAGUCCGGUAGAAAUACUGGGCGACCCGCAAGGGAGCCAGCCGAGGUGCUGCAUGGUUGUCGU